GAUGAACGUUGGCGGCGUGCCUAAUACAUGCAAGUCGAACGGAGAAUUUGAUGUAGCAAUACAUUGAAUUUCUUAGUGGCGAACGGGUGAGUAACGCGUUGGUGACCUACCCCAAAGAGCGGGAUAACGGUUUGAAAAGACCGCUAAUACCUCAUGUGAUCAUAUGGAUUAGAAGCCUAAUGAUUAAAGGAGCUUGCUCCGCUUUGGGAGGGGCCAGCGUACCAUCAGCUGGUUGGUGGGGUAACGGCCUACCAAGGCGAAGACGGGUAGCCGGUCUGAGAGGAUGAUCAGCCACAAUGGGACUGAGACACGGCCCAUACUCCUACGGGAGGCAGCAGUGGGGAAUUUUACGCAAUGGGCGAAAGCCUGACGUAGCGACACCGCGUGAGCGAAGAAGCCCCUUGGGGUGUAAAGACUCUGUCAGCUGGAACGAAAAAAAUAGACGGUACCAGCAGAGGAAGCAUCGGCUAACUACGUGCCAGCAGCCGCGGUAAGCUCGUCUCUAC
rnacentral:rRNA from 1 species